rnacentral:tRNA from 1 species
GGCGGCGUAGCCGAGUGGAUAGGCAAAGGUCUGCAAAACCUUUUCACGCUGGUUCGAAUCCAGCCGUCGCCU